GCUGGGGUGGGAGAGACAGCUCAGGCACCUUAGGCAGUAUGUGGCCCUGCGGAGCCAGAUUCCAGCCCGCUUCUCCUUCCCUGGGCCCACAGAACACUGAUGCCCAAAGGCGGCGUGGGUGUGGGGCCCUGGUCUCUGAGGCUGCCCCCAAACCAUAAAGUGGGAACCACCUGCAGACAGGUGUAUGUGUGUGGGGGGGGUCAGGCGUGCAUUCCCAGACAGCACUGCAGCCAAACUGUUGUGCUGCAAAGCUGGAAUCCACUCCCAGCCCAUGCUCAAGGAGCCCAGCUUUGAAGCCUGGCCACAAGGCUGUGAAUUCAAACUCUGGCCAAAAGCACACAGCAUGUAAUCUUUGGACUUGAACUGUCUUCUGGGAACCCAAAGCUGUAACAUUCAGAAAAAGCCUGGAUGCUGGGCUGUGGUAGCUUUGCAGUAGAGCACAGCCCUAGCAUACAGGAGGCCCUGAGUUGCAUCCCCAGUGGGCAGAAGGAGGGGAACCUAAACUUACCACACCUAGAUUUGACUCUGCCAUCUGUCUGUCUGAUCUCAUGCCCUCACUUUCAGAAUGGGAAUUUCCCACCUACAGGACACAAAAUAAUGCAGCCAAAGACUCAAAACUCAAAACGUCCAGGUGCCAAUUACAGAACGAACGCUGCUUCCAAGUAACAGCUAGCUUCUGAAAUCCAACGUAGUUUUAAUUAAUUAAAAAAUGUUUUGUUUUUUUUUUCUAGAAGUCACCAACAGGGAAAAAAAAGUUUUUGUACUGUGAAUUGAGUCCACAGCCUUCACACUGAGGUACAUUCUCCAAUCUCCAGUUUUUUUUCUUUUUCUCUCUUUUUUUGGUCUUUUUUGAGACAGGAUCUUGCUAAUGCAGUUCAGGCUGGCCUUGAACUCACUUCGUAGCCUUAAACUUGCAACAAUCCUCCUGCCUCAGUCUCCCAAGUAUCCAGGCUUUUUUAAAUUUGAGAAAAGAUCUAAGCUGUUAAAUUGCCCCAGCUGGGUUUGAACUUGCAAUCCUUCUGCCUCAGCCUCUCAGAAUGCUGAAAUUACAGAGAGGUGACACCAGGGCCACUCUAAUCAAUAUAGUUCUCUCCUAAAAUCAAAUAUUUGUUUUAUGUAAUUCAAAGUCAGUUCUACACUGUAACAGGAAAACCUUUAGCAAAAUGAAAAACUAAAUGCAUCAACUGACAUGAGUAUAUUUUAAGGAGCAAAGACCUUUGGAGUCCCUCGUGCUAAUCAUCCGGCUUGACAACAUCAAGGAUUAAAGGGCUGAUCUCCUGAAAUCUGUGAAGUGAACCCCAGAUCAGCCCCCUUCAGCCGCACGCCACGAGGGAUCAGCUCUAAUUAAUCUCCAGGAUGUGCUUCAAGGGCACAGGCACCUUGCGGCCGCCCUGGCAUCACACAGUCACUUCUCUGUUCAGGCCCACCAGGCCCCAUGAACCGAGCCUGUGGAUUGUGAAGAGGGGAUCUGACCUGCGCUCUCUGAGUCCCACCCCAUAGAACCUUACCACAUUUGGUUCUGAGCCAUGAAAGGUCAAAGAGGCAGAUUCUCUGCCUGCAAGGAACUCACUGACAGCAGAAAAGCAAGGGAGUGACCCUCACCUGGCGGGCUACCAUACAGGAGAAGACAGGGGGGCAGAGAAGGGCCACUUCCCCCAGCUGGGCACUGCAAAGCGCGCUGCAGGCAGUACCCAGGAGCCAGGUCAGGGGUCUCAGUCAUGGGGAGUGAAGACAGGCUGACAAAGAAUGCUCCCUCAAAGGCAAGAUGCGUCCCAAAUGUAGGGUCCCUGAUGACCAGCUCCAGGAGCACUGAGGAGGUGACUCCCACCCCAGGGAGUCAGGAAGAUGAGAGUACAAGACACUUCCCCGGCUGUCCCUGGCCAAGGGGCAUGGAAGCAGCUAGUGGCAGGAACAGUCCAGCACUGCUGGGUCCAUCUGGGCUGGGACCACCAUGCACCUCAGUGAGAGGCCUGGGAGGACCUGGGGGACUGAAGGGAAAAGGCAAGUGUGGGAGGAAAGCCGGGGUGCCACCAGUGUGGGUAAGCUGGGCUCCAAUCUGACAGUAAAUACAGAUAGGGUGCUUCAGGGUAGGCCUCCAGGAAAUAGCUGGGCCACAGAUGUCCCUGAGUGGGUGGGGACAGCAGGAAGGGCUGUCUGGCUGGUGCUGGGUCUUAGAACAAGCCUGCCAGGCGUGGUGGUGGUGGUGGAGGCAGCCCUAGGCUGAGUAUGUCGGCUCACACUUGUAAUGCCAGCACUGGGAAAGCUGAGGCAGGAGGAUCACCACAGUUCAAGGCCAUACUGGGCUACAUAGUGAGUUCAAAGCCAGCUGAGACGAUAGCACGACCGUGUCUCAAAACAAAACACAAGGCUGCUGGUCCUGAAGAGACCUCCUCCCAAGGGACCAGCUGGGACAGGACUCAAAUCCACCCUCCACCCUCUAGCUAAGGCCCACCGUGUCCGGGCUAGCCUGUGCCUCAGGGAUGUUACAGAGAGCCAGCCUGUGCCUCAGGGAUAUUGCAGAGUCCUGUCCCUGCUCAGGCUGGUGAGUUCCUGUUCAGGCUCAGCAAGGGGUGGGCUGGGGCAAGAUGGAGGCCACAUCUGUCAGACAGCCCUGGUUCCUGGGGAUGCCCUCUCAGCCGUACCUUCUAGGGAUUUUUGCUUUUAUCUUUGUAAGGAGCAGAGAAAAGAGUCUUGUAGAAAAAUGGUGCCCUCUCUCUCAGGAUUAGGGAAUCUUCCCUGACAGGCUGGUCUGAAACAGAUCCAGGAGACAGGCUCUGGAGUGCGCCUGUGGUGACUUCCUCUAAAUAUCUGGGGCACGGGAAAUGUCCGUCACAGACUGGCGUGAGGAGGGGACCUGCAACUGCCACGGGGCCUCCUAGACACGUCCACCUGCAUCGCUGCGCCUUCCCGUCAAAAGACCCAGCAAGAGCAGAGCUCCGAUCUGGUGGGCACCGCAUCGCGCCCAGGAACCCAGGGGCUGGGAGACGCCAGGUGCCGUCCUCUCCUCCAUCCACUCUAUCGAAACCCGCCCAGGAGGAAGCCCUAUCCCCUUCCAGUCAAGUAUCCCCGAUCCACCCCACCCCAAUCAGUGCGGGGAUCCCCCCUCCAGCUCUUCCCUACCGGCUUCUCUGCGGCUGAGGGAGGGGUGGACGCAUCCGCUUGGAGCACUCACCCGAGCAUUCGUUGCCGCGCAGGCUUUGGCUUGGGGCGCGGAGCAGGCGAUGGUGCGGCCCUGUGGCCCAGUGGCCCGGCCGGGGCGCAGACCGCGGCCCCCUCCCUCCUUCCGCCCGGUGCGCGGGUCCCCACCUCCGGGCUCGCCUCAGCCCUGCCCCCAGCCGCUGCCAAGGCAACCCGCGCGCCGCCGUCACGUGACAGCUCCUGGGGGUGCUGCGAGCCACGUGACCCGUUGGGCCACGAAGAGCUGGGCUCCUCCCCCCCCUCAGCUCCCCAGAUCCCGUUGCUUGUCGGGACCACCCAGGGCGAUGCGCCUAAGAUAUUUGUCUGGCACGCUCUUCUUCCCGGAGCCGGAGCGCGGAAGCAGCGAGGCUGGGAUGCAACGGUCCGGGUCGCUGAACCGCGAGCUGGGCUUUCUAACUCUAGGUCAGAGCAGCAAAGACCGGCAUGGCCACCCCUGCUGGGCCCCCGGUGGGUGAGUGGGUUGAGUACAGAAGGAGAGCGCCGGGUGCCCGCAUCCGUCCUCCGCCUGUGGAGGGUGGGCUGGGAGAGGGGUGGAGGGCAAGGCUCGGCCUGGCCACACCUAUUCCCAGGCUCUGGGAUCCCGGGACCUAAUCCUGCACUUGGAGACGCGUACCUCAGCCGCAACUGCAGACAGCCUCUCACCCUCGCUGGUGAACUCUGCGGCUUACAACUGAGAUAUUCAAGCAGGAACUUUCUUUCCAGGAAGUGUACAUGAAUAAUUCACCAAGUGACGAAUGGGCUCAUAGGAACCCAUCGCUGCCAGACGGCCCCUCCGAGUCCUCGCUGCGUGCCCUACAUAGGAUUUUUCCAUCUGCCAAAACGGCAUUGGACCGUGACACAUUUACCAAAUAAGUUUAUUGACAAUGGGAAGGGUAUAGAUGUUGCAGAUGCCAGGUUAACUCUGGGCUUCCAGCUGCUUUACAGAGCCCACUGCUGAGCUGAAUGAUGUCUUUUAAUCCAAGAGGACACUUAAAACCAGACGGAACCAUUUGCCCCUCCUGGAGGCAGGUUAGGCCCUAAGUAAGGACAGGCUGAGAGACCCAGGGCGACUACAGCCUCCCACUCCCAAAGAUGCCUGGAGAAAAGCAAAUUUCAGAAACCAAAAUCCGUCGGCCCUGGUUUUCUGGCUUUGAAACCUCAAAUUUGUGACAAGUAAACUUGAAAACAGGAAGAAAAGACUUUGUAAACGACAGCCGUUGCAUCACAGACGGAAAUCUUUCAGCGCUAGAGCUCGGUGCAGUCUCGGGAAGCCUGUCUUUGCUGACCUGCAGCAGGCUUCCAGCACCUUCCAGCACAGUGAGGUCUCCCCCAGCAGUUAUCCUCAUGGCCAGGUGGAAGCAAGUGCCAGCUGUAAUUACCAGUGCAUUCGGAACCACUUUCUGAACCAGACGGGAUGGCAGGGUGUUUAUACCUUAUACAGACACACACAUGGACAUGGACACACGGAGGGAGCCGAGCCCAGUGUGCUGGUGCAGCGCGUAAUCCCAGCAACUGGGGAGGCUGAUUACAAAUUUGAGCACAGCCUCGGGGAUUUAGCAGGACUGUCUCAGAUAAAAAAUUAACAAAUAAAAAGGGCUGGGGUACAGUGA